rnacentral:rRNA from 1 species
AGUGAACGCUGGCGGUAGGCCUAACACAUGCAAGUCGAACUGCAGCACAGUAAGAGCUUGCUCUUACGGGUGGCGAGUGGCGGACGGGUGAGGAAUACAUCGGAAUCUACUUUUUCGUGGGGGAUAACGUAGGGAAACUUACGCUAAUACCGCAUACGACCUACGGGUGAAAGCAGGGGAUUUUCGGACCUUGCGCGAUUGAAUGAGCCGAUGUCGGAUUAGCUAGUUGGCGGGGUAAAGGCCCACCAAGGCGACGAUCCGUAGCUGGUCUGAGAGGAUGAUCAGCCACACUGGAACUGAGACACGGUCCAGACUCCUACGGGAGGCAGCAGUGGGGAAUAUUGGACAAUGGGCGCAAGCCUGAUCCAGCCAUACCGCGUGGGUGAAGAAGGCCUUCGGGUUGUAAAGCCCUUUUGUUGGGAAAGAAAAGCAGCAGGUUAAUACCCCGCUGUUCUGACGGUACCCAAAGAAUAAGCACCGGCUAACUUCGUG